rnacentral:rRNA from 1 species
GGGGAAUAUUGCGCAAUGGGGGCAACCCUGACGCAGCCAUGCCGCGUGAAUGAAGAAGGCCUUCGGGUUGUAAAGUUCUUUCGGUAGCGAGGAAGGCAUUUAGUUUAAUAGACUAGAUGAUUGACGUUAACUACAGAAGAAGCACCGGCUAACUCCGUGCCAGCAGCCGCGGUAAUACGGAGGGUGCGAGCGUUAAUCGGAAUAACUGGGCGUAAAGGGCACGCAGGCGGACUUUUAAGUGAGGUGUGAAAGCCCCGGGCUUAACCUGGGAAUUGCAUUUCAGACUGGGAGUCUAGAGUACUUUAGGGAGGGGUAGAAUUCCACGUGUAGCGGUGAAAUGCGUAGAGACGUGGAGGAAUACCGAAGGCGAAGGCAGCCCCUUGGGAAUGUACUGACGCUCAUGUGCGAAAGCGUGGGGAGCAAACAGGAUUAGAUACCCUGGUAGUCCACGCUGUAAACGCUGUCGAUUUGGGGAUUGGGCUUAAUGCUUGGUGCCCGUAGCUAACGUGAUAAAUCGGCCGCCUGGGGAGUACGGCCGCAAGGUUA